AGGGAUGGGAUACCUUGCAGAGGGAUCUAGAUAGACUGGAGAAUUGGGCUAUGACUAAUGGGCUAAAACAAGUCAAACUGAUGGAUUCUGCUGCUAGGACGGAGUAAUGCCUGGCAUAAGCAUAAACUGGGAGAGGAACUGGACAUUAGGAAAUAUUUCUUUACUGAUAAGGUGGUAAACACUGUAAUAACCUUCCCAGAGAGCUGUUCGAUGCCCCAAACCUGGCAGUGCUUUAAAAGGCAUUUGGACAAUGGUUUCAAUGACAUGCUUAAACUAUUGGGCAACCCUGAAUUCGUUAGGCAGUUGGACUAGAUAAUUGUUGUAGGUCCCUUCAAACUGAAAUUAGUCUAUGCUAUUCUGUUCUAAUUAAUCAAUGUUAUUACCUACCAUUACCUAUGAAAAUCUAGAGGUAUCUAUCACGUAAUAAAAGAAUCUAGCUAGUCUUUUCUUUGACAGUGCAGCAAUACUGUUUUCACACUUAAAAAGACAGAGUGGUAAUGAAUCCCUUUGAUCUUUUGGAGCCUCUGUUAUCCAAGUCUAUUAGUAAGUUCCCCUACUAGGUUUUGAGUCUAAAACAGAGAGAAAAAAUACAUCAGCUGGUGCAACUUGCAUUAGAUUAUUAGUUUGCCAAGAGUCUUCAUUAAACACGAGUACGAUGUAUUUGCAUUUCUUCUACAUGCAUCUACUAUGCAUUUAACACAUAUAACAUUCACAAGCAGAAAAUU